GAAGAGAAUGGGGCAGGU
rnacentral:misc_RNA from 1 species